AUUGAACGCUGGCGGCAUGCCUUACACAUGCAAGUCGAACGGCAGCACGGGUGCUUGCACCUGGUGGCGAGUGGCGAACGGGUGAGUAAUAUAUCGGAACGUACCUUAUUGUGGGGGAUAACGCAGCGAAAGCUGUGCUAAUACCGCAUAAUCCCUAAGGGGGAAAGCGGGGGACCGUAAGGCCUCGCGCAAUUAGAGCGGCCGAUACCUGAUUAGCUAGUUGGUGAGGUAAAGGCUCACCAAGGCAACGAUCAGUAGCUGGUCUGAGAGGACGAUCAGCCACACGGGGACUGAGACACGGCCCAGACUCCCACGGGAGGCAGCAGUGGGGAAUUUUGGACAAUGGGGGCAAACCUGAUCCAGCAAUGCCGCGUGAGUGAAGAAGGCCUUCGGGUUGUAAAGCUCUUUUGUCAGGGAAGAAACAGCAGCUCUAACACAGUAUGCGAAUGACGGUACCUGAAGAAUAAGCACCGGCUAACUACGUGCCAGCCGCCGCGGUAA
rnacentral:rRNA from 1 species